rnacentral:rRNA from 1 species
UACGGGGGGGACAAGCGUUGUUCGGAAUUACUGGGCGUAAAGGGCUCGUAGGCGGCCAACUAAGUCGGAUGUGAAAUCCCCAGGCUUAACCUGGGAACUGCAUCCGAUACUGGAUGGCUUGAAUCCGGGAGAGGGAUGCAGAAUUCCAGGUGUAGCGGUGAAAUGCGUAGAUAUCUGGAGGAAUACCGGUGGCGAAGGCGGCAUCCUGGACCGGCAUUGACGCUGAUGAGCGAAAGCUAGGGGAGCAAACGGG